GAUGAACGCUGGCGGCGUGCCUAAUACAUGCAAGUCGAACGCUGGAAAUCUAGCUUGCUAGAUUGAAGGAGUGGCGAACGGGUGAGUAAUACAUAAGCAACCUACCCACGAAGACUGGGAUAAUCUCUGGAAACGGGGACUAAUACCGGAUAGGUAAUCGGAAGGCAUCUUCUGAUUAUUAAAGGUUAAAAACACUGGUGGAUGGGCUUAUGGCGCAUUAGUUAGUUGGUGAGGUAACGGCCCACCAAGACGAUGAUGCGUAGCCGGCCUGAGAGGGUGAACGGCCACAUUGGGACUGAGACACGGCCCAGACUCCUACGGGAGGCAGCAGUAGGGAAUGGUCGGCAAUGGGGGAAACCCUGACCGAGCAACGCCGCGUGAGUGAUGACGGCCUUCGGGUUGUAAAGCUCUGUUGUAAGGGAAGAACGGUAGAUAGAGAAUAUCUAAAUGACGGUACCUUACCAGAAAGCCACGGCUAACUACGU
rnacentral:rRNA from 1 species